CCUACGGGUGGCAGCAGUGAGGAAUAUUGGUCAAUGGACGAGAGUCUGAACCAGCCAAGUAGCGUGAAGGAUGACUGCCCUAUGGGUUGUAAACUUCUUUUAUAUGGGAAUAAAAUGUUCCACGUGUGGGAUUUUGUAUGUACCAUAUGAAUAAGGAUCGGCUAACUCCGUGCCAGCAGCCGCGGUAAUACGGAGGAUCCGAGCGUUAUCCGGAUUUAUUGGGUUUAAAGGGAGCGUAGGUGGAUUGUUAAGUCAGUUGUGAAAGUUUGCGGCUCAACCGCAAAAUUGCAGUUGAAACUGGCAGGUUUGAGUACAGGAGAGGUGGGCGGAAUUCGUGGUGUAGCGGGGAAAUGCUUAGAUAUUAGGAAGAACACCGAUUGCGAAGGCAGUCUGCUGGACUGCAACUGACACUGAGGCCCGAAGGUGUGGGGAGCAAACAGGAUUAGAUACCCGAGUAGUC
rnacentral:rRNA from 1 species